rnacentral:rRNA from 1 species
GAGCGCAACCCUUAUUUUUAGUUGCCUUUUAUGGAACUCUAAAGAGACUGCYGGUUAUAAACCGGAGGAAGGCGGGGAUGACGUCAAGUCAGCAUGCCCCUUACACCCUGGGCUACACACGUGCUACAUUGGGCGAGACAAUGAGAUGCGACUCUGCGAAGACAAGCUAAUCUAUAAACUCGUUCUAAGUUCGGAUUGUAGGCUGCAACUCGCCUACGUGAAG